rnacentral:rRNA from 1 species
GGGACAACAGUUGGAAACGACUGCUAAUACCGCAUAAGCCCACGGAUUCGCAUGGAUCUGCGGGAAAAGGAUUUAUUCGCUCUAGGAUGGACUCGCGUCCAAUUAGCUAGUUGGUGAGGUAACGGCCCACCAAGGCGACGAUUGGUAGCCGGACUGAGAGGUUGAACGGCCACAUUGGGACUGAGACACGGCCCAGACUCCUACGGGAGGCAGCAGUGGGGGAUAUUGCACAAUGGGGGAAACCCUGAUGCAGCGACGCCGCGUGGAGGAAGAAGGUUUUCGGAUUGUAAACUCCUGUCGUUAGGGACGAUAAUGACGGUACCUAACAAGAAAGCACCAGCUAACUACGUGCCAGCAGCCGCGGUAAAACGUAGGGUGCAAGCGUUGUCCGGAAUUACUGGGUGUAAAGGGAGCGCAGGCGGACCGGCAAGUUGGAAGUGAAAACUAUGGGCUCAACCCAUAAAUUGCUUUCAAAACUGCUGGCCUUGAGUAGUGCAGAGGUAGGUGGAAUUCCCGGUGUAGCGGUGGAAUGCGUAGAUAUCGGGAGGAACACCAGUGGCGAAGGCGACCUACUGGGCACCAACUGACGCUGAGGCUCGAAAGCAUGGGUAGCAAACAGGAUUAGAUACCCUGGUAGUCCAUGCCGUAAACGAUGAAUACUAGGUGUUGGAGGAUUGACCCCUUCAGUGCCGCAG